rnacentral:rRNA from 1 species
UACGGGGGGCAAGCGUUGUUCGGAAUUACUGGCGUAAAGGGCUCGUAGGUGGCCAACUAAGUCAGACGUGAAAUCCCUCGGCUUAACCGGGGAACUGCGUCUGAUACUGGAUGGCUUGAGUGUGGGAGAGGGAUGCGGAAUUCCAGGUGUAGCGGUGAAAUGCGUAGAUAUCUGGAGGACACCGGUGGCGAAGGCGGCAUCCUGGGACCAUUACUGACACUGAAUAGCGAAAGCCAGGGAGCAACGGGAUAGAAUGACCCAGAGUCCAG